AGGCUCUUUUGCUUUUACAUCGGACUCGGCUCCCUGGCGGUAUUUGGGGAUCACGAAUUCUGGGCAUAACACACAUGACGUGAGUAUUAAUUUAUUCUCAAUACCAGCUAGCUCUGGUUCUUUAAUUACCUUUUUCUGUCAUGUAAGAUUGAUGAGGGAGCAUGAGGCAAGUUGAGGGCAAAAUACAAGUUAGCACAUGCCCCCGCCCCAGGUGGGAUAUGUGUGAUUCUGGCUGCUCGAGGGCAAAGGAAAGGAAAGAAAACAAAUGGUUAACUGAUAGAGAUCUCAGUCGGGCAAGAUAGGAGUUUCCAUCAGUUUACAAAUAUCUUAGUAAAUUACAAGAAAAAGGCAAUCUUAUCAAUAGCCUAAUCUCCAGAAACCUACAGAAUCAGCUUCCUGGAGCCCCAACAUCACCCCUCCAUAGUGAUAUGGGGAACAAAGGCAAGAAGGAAAUCUCAGGUAAAAUUAAAUUUCCUUAUAACCUGCAGCCUAUUGACAGAUACUUGACAGAUACAGGCAAAUAAAAUAUUUCUCCAGGAACUCCCUACUGUCUUAAUGCUUUGCUAGAGGGGAAAACAACCUUAGCUUGACAACAGCAAGGCCUCUGGUAUCUUAGGAGUCCUCUUUCACAUAUCACAGUCCCUCUGGAGACUUCCCUUUUGACUUUACCUCCCAAUUCCAUAGCAUAUAACCUGUCACUCUUCACAACCCCAGCGCAGUUCUUUCUGCCCACGGUCCUGUCCCUGUGCUUUAAUAAAAUCACCUUUUUGCACCAAAGACACGUUCAAGAAUUCUUUCUUGAGCGUCGGCUCCCGACUCCCCACCAUCUCCCCAAAACUUCAUCAAGAUGAACGUGGAAACUCAACACAAGCAAGUUGUUGCCUUGUCCACGACAAAUCUUUUCUAUUCCACAACCAUCCCCUACUUUGUCACCCCCUAGCUCGUUACCCUGCUGCACUGAUGCCAGCAUGGCUCACAUACGUUUUCCCAUCAACGGCCAUCUUUUUCUCCUUCCAGUAUGAAAGAUUCUUGGGGACAGUCCCUGUGUAUUCUGUGUACCCCCAGGACUUAGUACAUUGUCGACAUAGAGUGCGCGUGGCACUGAGUGUUUUUCAAUGAAUUCAUUCAUUGUUAUCAACGGAUUCCACCCUAUUUCGUCCUGUAUUGCCUACAUAACUAUGAAAUUCAGAUUCUUCGAAGAGGCUCUUGGUGUUAUAAGAUGCUUAGUAGAGGUGGUGAGUUUUAAGACAUUAUAUUGACACCACUAAAACCUCUUGGUGGAGAAACUCAAUGAGCCCGUUCUCUGGCAUGCUGGCAAAACAAAAAACUGACCCUCAGUAUUCUUUCCCCAGGUUAGGCAUCAGCAAAUUAAUGAGAGGAGAGAGGAGGCCCCUGCUCUUGGGCACCCGCAGGAACUUACUCCAGCUCCGGACACACCGUAAACACUUUCAUCUAACGGAAGAUAAGUUGUGAAAUCAGAUUUCUGAACCACAAGACACUUGUGUAAAAACGGCAUUCCAUGCCAGGCCUGAAAUGUUCCAAAGCUCAGUUCGGUUUUGUUAGAACAUUCUAUCUGGUCUCGCUGGAUCAAGCUCUCCUCUCCAGAUCGGCCUAUAUGGGGAACUGAAAAUAAUCCUGUUUCAACGGUCUGUAUCUCAUGCUUGAAAACUUUCAAUGGCUCUCUAUAACUCAGAAUCUAACGUUCAAACCUCUCUAGCUGAUAGUCAAGGUUUCUCGUAAUUGGAUCUUUAACUGCUUAACCUAAUUCUUAAUUCCUGAUCAUUCCUGCAGCCGUGCCUUUGCCUAGACUUAUACCCAUUUUUUCUCUAUUUAACACAUCAGAGCCACUCUUUGGGUCUCAGCUAAAGUGUUAGCUUAUCCAUGCAGCUCUCCCUGACCUCCAUACUCCGCUGAUUACAGAGUCUGCUGAAUUCCAACACCCAUGGUACCUCUUUUAGUACUUAAUUACAUGCCACCUCCCUUUUUAUGACCAUUUCCUUUCUUCCCACCUGUCAUUUCAUGUUCUGAAGACGAUUUCAUCCUAGUGUGGCGCCCAUAGUACUUACUCUUGGGUUGGGCCCAAACUGAGUACUGUAUGUGGAAGGCCGGGCGUCAAAGAUGAGGUCUGGGGAAUCAAAAUAAUAACAGCUAACACUCAUAUUUUGCCAGGCACUGAUCCAAGUGCUUCAUAUGUAUUACCUCAUCUAGGUCUCACAAUAAUCCCAUGAGAUGGUAACUAUCAUACUUUCCAUUUCACAGAAAAGGAAACUGAGUCACAAAGCUAAUAGAUGACAGACCUCGGCCCAAACGCGGGCAAUCUAGUUCCAGAAUCUCUACUCUUCACUACUCUGUUGUAUCCUAUUAUAGAGGAUGGAGCAAAAAUGGGAGAGUAGAGGUUAAGGGAUGAAAUAAUGGGGCUAAAAAUUGGAUAAGGAAAAAGAAUAAGGACAAUUACAAGUAAAAGAUUGGAGAAGG